rnacentral:rRNA from 1 species
CAGCAGCCACGGUAAUACGAGGGGAGCUAGCGUUAUUCGGAAUUACUGGGCGUAAAGCGCACGUAGGCGGCUUUGUAAGUUAGAGGUGAAAGCCCAGAGCUCAACUCUGGAAUUGCCUUUAAGACUGCAUCGCUUGAAUCCAGGAGAGGUGAGUGGAAUUCCGAGUGUAGAGGUGAAAUUCGUAGAUAUUCGGAAGAACACCAGUGGCGAAGGCGGCUCACUGGACUGGUAUUGACGCUGAGGUGCGAAAGCGUGGGGAGCAAACAGGAUUAGAUACCCCUGUAGUCCCUGUCUCUUAUAC